UAACAUUUAAUAAUAAUGUUCCUUGUAUAAAUAAUUAAUAUCAAUUAUAAUAUUAGCUAAUAUAGUUUAAUAAUAAUAGCACUGGAAACUAAAAUGGUUUGCCAUUUCCUUCUCCAGCUCUUUUUACAGAUGAGAAGACUAAGGCAAACAGAGUUAAGCAAGUUACAUAGGAUCAGACAGCUAGCAAGUGUCUGAGGCCAGAUUUGAACUCAGGAAGAUGAGUUUUCCUGACUCCAGGCCUGGCAUUCUAUCUAUUGUACCACCUAGCUGCCCCGUAACAGUAAUUUAAGCUUUCCAAAGUAUGGUACAAAUAUCAUUUCAUUUGAUCUCCUUAACAAUUCUGGGAGGCAAUUGUUAUUAUUAUCAUCCCCAUUUUAUGGAUGAUGAAACUGAGGCAGAUAGAGGAUAAGAACUUAAUAGUGCCUGGGGUAGGUAAUACUGUCUUUCUGACACCAGGGUCAGGGCCCUGUAUUCACUGUGCUACCUAGCUAUGGAGGAAAUGAGAUGAAAUAUAAUGUAAUUUCAGCCCUCAACUUUUUCACUGGCUGUUCCCUGGGAUUCCUGGAAUACUGUCCCUCCUCAUCUCUAGUUCCUGGCUUACUUGGCUUCCUUUGAGGCCAUUCUCAAAUCCAACCUUCUGCAAGAGACCUUUGCUUAUCCUUUUCCAUGUCCUGCACCUCCCUAUAUACUCCAUAACUCCCUUCAAAGAUUCUUUCCCACAUAUACUGUACAAUGUAUCAAUGUAUACAGUUUUUUGGAUGUAAUCUCCUUACGGUUUUUACCUCUAUAAUUUAAAGAAUUAUUUUAUAUAUAAAAAUAUAUAUGCAUAUAUAACACCUGAUAUGAUACAGAACAGGUAUUUAAUACAUGCUUGGUUACUGCCUGAUAAUAGGAGAUUUUGUACACACAUAUCUAAGAUUUAGGUUGUGAUACAAGUUCAACAACAACAAAAGCUAAUGACAAUUUUGAGGAGCAAAGUAUCACUAGACUGUGGAUCUGAAACCUCAAAAAAACAUCAUGGCAGAGAUUGCAUACAUUUGAUUCUUGAAGAAAGGAAGAUAUUUUAGCUAGCAAAAAAGAAAUGAAGAAGUGUGAACAAGAAUGGGAAGUAGAUUGGUGAGGGCAGGAUGAGGGCAGAGAGUAGAUUGUUAUGUCUGCAUUAGACUAUUCUAUGAAAGAAAGAAAAGUUGAGUCAUAUUAUAGAGGGUUUUGAUUGCCAGGGUGAACUUGUAUAUUAUUUUUAAAAGUUAUAUAGAACCACUGAGGGUCUUCCAGGAACCUUAUUGAGUGUUAAGAUCUAUAUUGAUUAAAGGACAAAGUCAAGUAGGUAAAGAUUGAAGGUAAUGAGACCAAGCUAGAUCUCCUUUUGAGUAUUCCAGGCAAGAGGUGAUCAAGCACCUUUGUUAUGCUACAGUGAAAAUAGAAAAGAUAGUGUCUAUACACGAAAUAUUGCAAAUGCAGAACAGAGAAAAGUUAACCAUAAAUCAAUAGAUUCUAAAUCAUUUGUACCAUUUACCAGACGUUGUGCAAAAUGCCAAGAAUACAAAGAGAAAAGUGAAGCAGUGCCUACCCUUCAGUAGUUUACAUUCUAAUGGGGAGACAAUGUGUAUAUUUCAUACAAAAAAGAUAUAUACACAAAAUACCAAUUAAUCAAAUGGUGGAAAGCUGCAUCAACUGUUGGCACCAAAAGAAACCUCUUGGGAGAAAGCAGAGAGAGAGGAAAGAGUUGAUAAAAGUUCAAGGCACUCAACGAAAGGAGAAAGACAGGUGAGGGGAGAGGGAGAAACAGAUACAGAGAAAGAGACAGAUUUGAAGAAGGAAAUAAAGUUUUAUGGAGAAGUUGAGGUAAGUUUUAUUGAAGUUGAUGUGUUAGUAGGAGACCCAUGUGCAAAUUUUUAGCCAAUAUAUGAAAAAAUAAUACUAGAUCUUUGGGGAGACAUCAGAGAUAGUUUAUAGUAGUAGUCUCUCGGUAACCGAGGAUGACGAUUGUCUUUGUGCGUUUUCAUCUAUGGUGUAUAGAUGAGUGUGCACAAAGACACUUGUGCAUGAAGGAGACUUAAGUGGAAAAGUCGAUGCACAGAGACAGUCCCACUCUCUCAGCAUUGGAAGCCUGGGUCCAGUGGCACGAAUAGUCGUUACACCUGGAGACUUCUUCAGCUGCAUUGGAUGGCCAUGUUGUCCUUUGUGCUUCAACACGCCCUAAGCACUCCACAGUGCUUUACUGCGUCUCCAUCUCAGCCGUAGUGAAGAGGAAAAAGCCUUAAACUUUAGGUUUUAGAUUCUAGUUCUGCCCUAGAAUCUGGGGUAGGUCAUAACCCACAUGUAGCAGUUGUUAAAGAGUUAAGAAGAUAUGAUAUAGUGCUAUCAAAUGAUGAUCAAAAAGCAUAAUGUCUCUCAAAACCCCUAAAAAAACAGAGGUUGGGAGUACAGUCAAAUCUAAAACAAAGUUACCAACUUUGUUAUUUCAAUUGAUCUUAUUGAGAUGAACACUGCCUUCUCACUCUGUGGGACUUUUGUCUGUGAUCUGUAAAUCUUUCCCAAGGCUUUGUCCUUGAUCUUUUCACCUUAAAUGAAUACUGAUCAAGAACAUGGGCUGUCCAAUACUCUUCCUUCAUAUAGGACAGACCUAUUUCCUUUCUCUGGUCAUACAACACUCCAAUUACAUAUAUUUGUCACUUCUCUUGUGCUACUCUUUGUAAUAGGUUGCAGCCUAUUCAAUCUAUGCACCUCUCCAUUGUACUGAGAAUAAGCCAUAAUUUUAAUUCUUUAAGAGAUGGUAAUAUUCCAUAAAUCAUAACCAUAGAACAUCACUGAAAAAAGUAAUUUUUAAAAAACAGACCCUUGUUUCAGGAAACAAUAGAAACAUUUUAUAUAACUGAAAAAGUAAUUCCAUCUUCUUUCCUCCCCCAGAUCAAGUCUUGGUCUAACAGCUCUGUCCCCAUCUAGAUUGUCUGUCCAAUAAGCAUUCUUUGUGCACUUGAUUUCCCUGUGAAGACAGGCAAAGCUUCUGAUUGAUAAAAGAUCUAAUUUAGGAUAUUCUGCAGUGUUACAAGACUUAACCAAUCAGCACGAUGUCAUCCACAAUCAGAGGUGUUUGGUGGAACUAACCACAAUAGGGAAUCCCCUUUUAAUUUGGACUGCACUGGACAUCCUCCAUUACUGUGGAGAACACCUUUGAAAAUUAAAUGUCUGACUCAUUAAUGCUUCAUUUAAGGUUCAAAGUUCUCUCUACUGUUCUAUUUUUAAAGACUAUUGCAUGAUUUUAACAUAUAUAUGCAUAUAUAUAUAUAUGAAAGGCAACUUUCUGAGUAAGAGUAUUUUAAGGAAGUAUUAACAAAAGGCUAUCAAUACAUUCAGUGGAAUCUUGUAUGUUCUAUAUCCUUCAGUUAAUUGUAUAACUAACUAUACAAAUGUUGUCUGAUGUAGAAUAUUAACUAUUCCCUUUUCAAAUUUUUAUCAAUACACUACAGAGACUUUGCAGAGCUAGGAUAGUGAGAAUAUGGUUUCAGGAGUUACUUAUAUUUUCUUAGUUUUCUUUGGCAAUGAUAUAUCCCGUGAUUUUUCCCAAGUAUUCAUUACCCUAUUGUUUUUCAUGUUUCAAAAUUGAUUUCUCAAUGCCUUUAAGUUUCACUGACUCCAGAAUGGACCUUCUCAGAGUAUCCUUGAUAUGAUGUAUCUGUUCUUCCCAUCUUGAUUUUUUAGUGCUAUUUCUACUUUCUCUUGCAGCUAAUCUAGGACUGUGAUGCCAAGAGUCCAGCUAUAGUGAGUGGCCUGCUGCAUCUUAUACAGAAAUGAGUUUAUUAGAGAUCUUUAUAAUUCUUUCCCCUUUUUUUGGUCUGUUCAAUGCCUUUUUAGUAAAUCUGGCACAAAAAUUCAGAUAUUAUUUGAAUUCACUUUACACAUACAUUUGACCAAUGCAAUAAGAAAAGAUUAUUUUUAGGGAGGGAAGGAAGACCAAAGAAGGGAUAGGACCUGUUGGGUAGAUAAGAUAGCAACAACAUAGAGAAGGCAGAGUCACUUAUUUUUUAGAGAUUUGGGCACUAUCUAAAUAGAUGUGAUUAAUAGUCAUAGAAGUAGAUAUGACUUCCAAAGCAAAGAACAUAGAAAGGAAAUAAAAGACCCAAGCAUAGAUAUAUGGAGAAGAAGAGGAAGAUGGGAUCUAAUCAAAGGAAAAAAGUAGUUAGAAAGAUAGUAGGAGACGGAGAGAACAGUUUCACCAAAUCCAAGUGAAGGGAAAAAAAUCCAGAAAGAUUAGUGAUAGGCGUACAUAGAGUAUGGGUAGUAUGUGCCAGCACACACUGGGAGAACAUUUACAAAAUCUCUUCCUUUUCUGAACCUCUUAGGCCCAGGGAGAAAAAUCAAAUAAUGAGCUCAUUUCACUAUAGAUCUUAUUUCAUGUUUACACUGACCCAUUUAUCAUUGUGGCUUGUGUCAUUCAUUCAAAUACAGAUCCAUCUAAUUUGUUUAUCAUCUAGCAUAUACCUAUCUUUUCUUUAAACUUUCUCUCCACUAAUAUAGCAUAAAUAAAAGAUUGUACAGUUUUCCUAUCCUCCUACAAUAAUCUGAGCCACUUUCCAAAAAGUUCUUUGUCAAUUCUUCUGCAAUUAUUUCAUACCUAUUCAUUAAUAGACCCUCUUGGUGAACUAUGAAAUAAUUUGUUUCAGGCAUGAAGAUUAACCUCACUUCACUGUAAUUCAUUCAUUUAAUAAAUGUUUAUUAGGCUAUUCUCAAGAACCCUGGUGCUGGUAAAUAUAAAAAAUAAAAGAUUUUACCUUUAAGAACUUCAUCUUUACAUUGGAGAGAAACAAUAUUAAUACAAAAAUAUUUUAAAAAUUAAAAUGAAUACACAUUAAAUACAAAAUAAUCCAUAGGGAGAUGCUGGAAGAACAGCAUAGCUCUAGUGCAGGUGGUGGCAGCUCUCAAGUUGACCCUUAAAGUCAGCUUGGGAUUCUAUGAAGCAGAAGUGAAGAAAAGGUCACAUUUCAGAGACAGAUCUGAGCUAAGCCAUAGCAGCCAGAGAUGAAGUAUUUUAUCAAAGAAGCAGCAAUCAGGUUGAUCUGUCCAGGAGAUAGAAUGAAAGAGUAAGAUGUAAUAAGUCUAGAAAAGUUAGGUUGAAGACUACUUUUCCCUGAUGGAAGCACAUGGAAUUAGAAUAUAAACUCCCUUAGAGGAAGCAUUGUUUCAUUUUUUUUAUUGCUCUCACCUAAGAUAGCACCUGGCUCAAAGUAGGUGCUUAAUAAAUGUUGAUUGUUUGAUUGGUCCACCCCUAAAGACAUGACACUUCCUCAUUAAAAAAAAAAGUUCAGGAAGAUGCCACAAAGAAACAUGAUCCACUACCCUUGAGACUAUAAUGAAGAACAAGAAUCCAUGUCAUUAUAGGGAUAUUAGGGAGAGAAAGGAUGAAGAUUCUUGAAAAGCUCAUUUCUGGAUCCUUGGUGCAUGUAACACAUAAGGAGCCAAGAAAAAUGUACUCAUUAAAGGAACAUUGAAAUUUCAGAGUAGAUGACAAAUGAUAAGGGAAGGACUCAGUCAUUAGUCCCUUCUAGAUGACUGAUUCUCAUAGCCAGGUCAACAAUAACAAUUUUAUAAUCCAAGGAGAGAAUGGGAUAAUUAUUAAUCCGACUGUGCCCUCCAAUGUAUAGAGCUAUGGGCUCAGAGCUGAGAUGGAUAUAGGCUCCAUCUUUACUGAAUUUCCAAUUCCACUUAUGCCAGUGGGAUUACCCACUUUAAGUGGUGCUAGUUUAUCUAGACAGGGCCAGAGACCAGUCCUCUAGAGAUGGUGCUGGAAAACUUAUCUAAUCCUUCAUUAUUUGGCACCUGGACUUGAUUUCCAUUUCUAUUUUUUCCCAUAGGUUGCAAAGAGGCAAAUUUUGGCUAUCCAAAGAAAAAAAAGCAAACAAAAAACACCACCACCAAUACAAAAUUCAUAAAAUCCAAAACUCUGCAUUAGCAAAAUAGGCUCCCUUGGGAAGUAGUAGGUUCCCCCCACUGGAAUUUUUUGGGCAGAGUAUGGUUGACUACUUUUUGGACAUAUUGUAAUUGGAAAUCCUUUUGGAGAUGAGAACUGAAGAUUCUUCCAGUUUCUAAAAUUUUGUUACUGUGUUUCCAUGUGUUAUUAAUAUAUUCACAUCGUGUGAGGGCAUACUAGCUUCAUAUGUCAUCUUACAAGGAAACCUAGUGACCACUUGUCAAGACAGGCUAGAUAUGUUAUAAAGGAGAAAAAGCAAGAAAAAUUACACAGAUUUCAAAAGAGCUCUUGAAAUUCAUCACUCAAUAUUUUUGUGCCUUUUAAUUAUAUUUCCUCUAAAUUUGAUAGAAUGACAGACAGGAACUUCAAAAAUAUUCACUAGAACAGUCAUCAUCUUGUGUAAGUUACGUCAUGUACAAUCUUGCAAUGCUGACCCCAGAAGGAUGACAUGCUACCUUUCUUUUAUUGAAAAGGAAUAGAAUGGCAUAGUGCAAAGCAAGGAAGACACAUUUUGAGUUCGAAUAUGACCUUGGACACUUAUUAGUGUCCACUAUAUGACACAGGGCAAGUCAUUUAACCCCCUUUGCCUUUGUUAUUCAUUGGUAAAAUGAGCCAGAGAAGGAAAUGCCAAACACUCCAAUAACUCGACCAAGAAAACCCCACAUAGGGUCACAAAGAGGAUGACACAAAUGAAAUUAUUGAACAAAUACUUCAAAUAAGGCAGACCUGAUUCUGCUAUGACUUCAGUCUUCUAGGUAACUCUAAUAUGGCAAAUUAUAGGCAAGUGGUCCAUGUUUAUGAGAUGGAAAGGUUUUCAUACCACAAGGAAUCAUAGAUCUCUAUCCACCAGAAAUAAAAAGAAGAGAGAGGAAAGAAACUUAUUUACCCUAAUCCUCAAUCUAAGAUAGGCUAUAUUGAAAAAAAUUUUUCUCUGUAGGAAAACAAGCUGAAUGGGUGUGGCAAUUUUGGUGUUUGCAUAUUUGGGAUGCCCAGUAUGUUGAAAUCUGUAAGAAUUAAAAACAUACACCCAAAACUGUCAUCUCUUCCAAAGAAACUUCAUCAUUGUCAGGGAGUAUUUUUUAGAGGCACUUCCCCCAAAUCUUCAGCCACUAGGUAACUUCUGCCCUUUCAUAAUCCAAUUCUCUUUAAAUAAACAGCAAAAGAAAUGGAAUUAAUUCCUGUAUUAUAAGUCCCUGCUGGUCUCUGCUGUGUUUUCAUGACUAAUUUCUUUUGCUAACCACAGCUUCACAGCCUGUGACCUUCAGACAGCAAGCAUGCUUUAUGAAAACAUGGGCUUGUUGUUAGGGUUAUGCUUUUCUUCAUCCACCAACUCCCUGGUGGCUUGUUAACCAUCCCCACAAAUCCUAUUUCAAUGGCUUGAUCACAGAAUUAAGUUGUAAAAUGAUUCAAAACCAUGGAGGAGUCUUCCAGCUAGGCAUCCAAAAAACCAAAAUGCUUUUUAAAGGUUAAUCUAUCUUAAAAGUAAUGCUCCUAAUAUAUAUAUAUAUAUAAUAUAUAUAUAUAUAAUAUAUAUAUAUAUAUCACCUUGAAUACUUAUUUCUUUUUCCUUAAAAACCUAGAACAGGAAAGUAACUCAAGAAGUCAUCUGCUCCAUGUGUCAGCUUUCAAAUCCAAACCUUACACCAUCCAAUACAAUUAGAAAGCUAUUCUACUUUUUAAAUGUAUAUUGGAAUAAAAUUGAAUAGCUACCCUUAAUAAAUUCUACUAUGCAGUGAGUCUUCUGUCUGCCCAUCCUUGAAUCUAAUGAAGUACCUUGGAAUAAUGAAUAGAUGUUCAAUGUCAUAAACAUCUAGGUUAAAACCUCACCUCUGGAACAUUUGUGGGGUGACCUAACCAACUCACUAAAGACUAUGAAAUUCAGAAAAGGUGCCAAUCUGGAGGGGUAGAGAGAAUUCCCUAUAUUAGGAAAGUCCAUGUCCCAUACAUAUCUGCUAUCUAACUUAGAUGUUUAUGCCUUUCUAGAUUUAAUGCAUUAUAUUAUAAUAUUUCUUCAUUUUUCCUUAGCAGAAUUUUGAAGGGAAGUUGUUACCCUCUACUAUGUCAUAAUCCUUUGACUUCCUAGAAUCACAGAAUAGAAUAAGAAUAACUUUAAGUACCUUUUAAAUUUUACAACUGUGGGGCCCAACACCAAAAGAGAUUAAAUAACAUGGCCCUAAUUGUAUAAUGAGGUGGUUGAUGGUGGGAUCUUCAAACUCCCAGGCUAUUAUGGCUUUUUCUGACAGACCCUGUGACCUACUUUAAAGGCCAUUAUUAAAUCAUCCACUCAGGUCACUUCCUUCCACUUUUACUUUAAGGUUUUAUGUUCCAGCUUUUGUUAUCUCUCUCUCUCUCUCUCUGUCUCUCUCUCUCUCUCUCUGUCUGUCUCUCUGUCUCUGUCUCUGUCUCUCUGUCUCUCUCUGUCUCUCUCUCUCUGUCUCUCUCUCUCUCUCUCUCUCUCUCUCUCUCUCUCUCUCUCUCUCUCUCUCUCAGUUGUAUUUGUUUGUUUGCAUGUUAGUGUGACUGCUUCAUGAGUUCCCUUCUAAGCACUUAUGCCUUCUUAUUUUUGAAGUCAAGUUUUGAAAAAUCUCAUAUGGAUCAUAGAUAUAUUCUCUAAAGAGCUUUGUUUUUAUAUUUGCAUUUAUGCUUGCAACAAUCAAUCUAGCAAAACCGAGGUGUCACAUUGCUAGCUAGUGGUUAAUUUGUAAUCUUUUACCCUUAGAUCUUCUCCAGCAACACUCAGUCAGUUGUUUCCUAUCCUACAUUGUUUCCCAGAAUUGCUUUGAAUUUUGAUCCAACCUUCUGCUCCUCAUCCAUUGCCCAUUGACUCUGAAAGCAUCAAGAAUGUUAUUGAUGAAAAGGACCUGGACUCCAUGUGUGGAAAAGUGAUCAGCCAUUUCCUCUCCUAGACUGAUGAAGAUCACAAGACUUCUAUGCUUUAGUUGGUGGUCUUUGCAGAAUCACAGCAAGACAGCAUCCAAGUGGAUCUUUUAUGGAGGUCAUGAAAAUUUAGUGGCAAGACAAACAUCAGGAUCCAUGGCAAUGGAUAUAGUGGAUAUAGUGGAUAACCUUGUUCAAUGUCUGAUUAAGCUCCAAGUAUUCCAUAGUAGAGUGCCUGCCUUUGGAACAAUUUCUUCAUCUCCACCCAUUCCACUGGGGGAAGUCCUCACAUGUUUGUAAUAGACAUUUCAAUAAUUCACUGACCAAUGCAUUUGAGGAAGACUGUAAGGCGAGUUUCAUCAGUGAUUUUUCUUGGAGCACAUGAUGAACCUAAAGAUCAUAGAUAUAGAUCUGCAAGUAACCCUGGUGGCCUUCUUCUCCAACUGCUCCAUUUUGUAAUUGAGUAAAAUAAAGUCUGGGGAAAUUAAGAGAUAAAAUCACACUUACAGGAUGCAUCCAAAGCAGGAUUGGACCCUAGAUCUUCUGAUUGUAUAACCAUUUUCCUUUAUAUCCUACCAUUCUGCCUCUGGGAAAUUGAAACCUGGGGAGAUUCAAUGACUUUUCCAGAGUCACAUAGGUAGAAAAGGGUAGAGGCAGAAUUCAAACUCAGGUUCUUUGACUUCAAAUAGAGUGACCUUUCCAUUGUACUACAAAUAUUUUUUUUUCUUUUCAAAGGAGAAUUUGUUAGCCAGACUUCUUUUAUUUAUAAUUUCCUUAUGCCUUCUGGCUUCAUUUUCAUUGAGGUCAUGUGGUUAGUUCCACCAGUAGUAUAUCAACAAAUGGUUGUUGGAUAAAUGCCUUGUUAUUAGAGUAAGAACAAUGAAAUUAAUGUUUUUACAUGAUCUAAAAUUCAUAAUUCUGUUUCCUUUUCUUCAACUAAGCAUCCUCCACAUGAUUAUUCCUAAUCUCUUAGGAUCAAGACAGUCUUAAAUAAUUUAGUACCAUUACUUAGUUUUCUGAGAAGCAUAUAUUUUUCAAUACUUAUACCUCUUAAUGCACUUUACAUUCCAGCUAAAUUGACUCAUUUAUUGCUCCUUGCUAAUACAGUAUAUCUCUUCUUUCUGUGCCUUUAUACUGGUGGUUCUCAACCUUUCUAAUGCCAUGACCCCGUAAUACAGUUCAUGUUGUGGUGACCCCAAACCAAAAAAUUAUUUUGGUGGCUACUUCAAAACUAAUUUUGCUACAGUUAUGAUUCAGAAUGUAAAUACCUGACAUGCAUUAUGUAUUCUCAUUGCUACAGAUGAAACAUAAUUUAAACAUAGUGAUUAAUGACAAAAACAAUAUUUAAUUAUAUGUUGAGAAAUAUUAAUCCAGCAGGAGGCAGCCUGAGAGCUGGGGCGGGAGGUAAGUCCUGCCUGGGCAGGGGGUCUGCAGACUCUGCCUUCUUCUUCCUGUUGUCUCCCUCCAGCUCAAGCUGAGGCUUCACUUUGUUGGGGUUACUUGGCUCCAUUAUCCGCUCUAGGAGUUAUCUGCUUCAGUACUCGUUCUUAACCCCGCUGGAGCUAGCGCCCGGGUGCUCUCUCUGGGUCUCUGUUUGAGUCCAGUCUCCAGGCAACAGGAUAAAUCCAACCCCGCUCAUUGGGGGAGGGCUGCUGAUAGGUAACUAAUAUUAGUAUAAUAUGCGGGCAGCAGGGUCCCUGUUCUUUCCGAGAUCUUGCUGUAAAGUAGCACGAUUUCUCAGGGGCUAAAGCCAUUGGAAGUAUGUAUUUUCCGAUGACUUUAGGAGACCCCUGUGUUUUGGUCGUUCAAGCCCCACUGGGGUUGCGACCCACAGGUUGAGAACCACUGCUUUAUACAGAUGGUGUACCAUUCCUGAAAUAUAUUCACCCAUGGCUUCUGUAUCUAAGAAUGUCUUACUUCUUUCAAAACUCAACUGAAAUAUUCCCUCCUACAUGAGGUCUUUCCAAUCCUCCUAUCUGCAAGCACCUCCC